UAAACCUAAAUUUGUGUGCGUACAUAUCUUCAUAUGUGUAUUCUUUUUCUUAUCUUUGAUACAAUUGAAUGCUUGAUCCCAUUCUACUGGUGUUACAAUUAAAGGGAGAAUUCGAUGAAACAUGCAUGCAUACCUAUUAUUUAAAGGAUUCUGCAGAGACAACAGGAUCAUGUUAAUUACUCCUUCAAUACUUCUUAUGGGUGG
rnacentral:misc_RNA from 1 species